rnacentral:rRNA from 1 species
GACGAACGCUGGCGGCGUGCCUAACACAUGCAAGUCGAACGGGGAGUUACUUGUAACUCCUAGUGGCGAACGGGUGAGUAACGCGUAGACAACCUGCCUCUAAACUGGGGACAACACCGCGAAAGUGGUGCUAAUACCGAAUGUGGUAUCUUGAUCGCAUGAUCGAGAUAAGAAAGAUGGCCUCUAUAUAUAAGCCAUCGAUUAGAGAUGGGUCUGCGUCUGAUUAGCUAGUUGGUGAGGUAAUGGCUCACCAAGGCGACGAUCAGUAGCCGGUCUGAGAGGAUGGACGGCCACACUGGGACUGAGACACGGCCCAGACUCCUACGGGAGGCAGCAGUGGGGAAUCUUCCGCAAUGGACGAAAGUCUGACGGAGCAACGCCGCGUGAGUGAAGAAGGUUUUCGGACUGUAAAGCUCUGUCGUUUGGGACGAACGUGGUUAGUGUGAAUAAUGCUAACUAAUGACGGUACCAAAGGAGGAAGCCACAGCUAACUACGUGCCAGCCGCCGCCGUAA